rnacentral:rRNA from 1 species
GCCCGCUCGCCGGAAGACCAAGGGUUCCUGUCCAACGUUAAUCGGGGCAGGGUGAGUCGACCCCUAAGGCGAGGCCGAAAGGCGUAGUCGAUGGGAAACAGGUUAAUAUUCCUGUACUUGGUGUUACUGCGAAGGGGGGACGGAGAAGGCUAUGUUGGCCGGGCGACGGUUGUCCCGGUUUAAGCGUGUAGGCUGGUUUUCCAGGCAAAUCCGGAAAAUCAAGGCUGAGGCGUGAUGACGAGGCACUACGGUGCUGAAGCAACAAAUGCCCUGCUUCCAGGAAAAGCCUCUAAGCAUCAGGUAACAUCAAAUCGUACCCCAAACCGACACAGGUGGUCAGGUAGAGAAUACCAAGGCGCUUGAGAGAACUCGGGUGAAGGAACUAGGCAAAAUGGUGCCGUAACUUCGGGAGAAGGCACGCUGAUAUGUAGGUGAAGUCCCUUGCGGAUGGAGCUGAAAUCAGUCGAAGAUACCAGCUGGCUGCAACUGUUUAUUAAAAACACAGCACUGUGCAAACACGAAAGUGGACGUAUACGGUGUGACGCCUGCCCGGUGCCGGAAGGUUAAUUGAUGGGGUCAGCGCAAGCGAAGCUCUUGAUCGAAGCCCCGGUAAACGGCGGCCGUAACUAUAACGGUCCUAAGGUAGCGAAAUUCCUUGUCGGGUAAGUUCCGACCUGCACGAAUGGCGUAAUGAUGGCCAGGCUGUCUCCACCCGAGACUCAGUGAAAUUGAACUCGCUGUGAAGAUGCAGUGUACCCGCGGCAAGACGGAAAGACCCCGUGAACCUUUACUAUAGCUUGACACUGAACAUUGAGCCUUGAUGUGUAGGAUAGGUGGGAGGCUUUGAAGUGUGGACGCCAGUCUGCAUGGAGCCGGCCUUGAAAUACCACCCUUUAAUGUUUGAUGUUCUAACGUGGACCCGUGAUCCGGGUUGCGGACAGUGUCUGGUGGGUAGUUUGACUGGGGCGGUCUCCUCCUAAAGAGUAACGGAGGAGCACGAAGGUUGGCUAAUCCUGGUCGGACAUCAGGAGGUUAGUGCAAUGGCAUAAGCCAGCUUGACUGCGAGCGUGACGGCGCGAGCAGGUGCGAAAGCAGGUCAUAGUGAUCCGGUGGUUCUGAAUGGAAGGGCCAUCGCUCAACGGAUAAAAGGUACUCCGGGGAUAACAGGCUGAUACCGCCCAAGAGUUCAUAUCGACGGCGGUGUUUGGCACCUCGAUGUCGGCUCAUCACAUCCUGGGGCUGAAGUAGGUCCCAAGGGUAUGGCUGUUCGCCAUUUAAAGUGGUACGCGAGCUGGGUUUAGAACGUCGUGAGACAGUUCGGUCCCUAUCUGCCGUGGGCGCUGGAGAACUGAGGGGGGCUGCUCCUAGUACGAGAGGACCGGAGUGGACGCAUCACUGGUGUUCGGGUUGUCAUGCCAAUGGCACUGCCCGGUAGCUAAAUGCGGAAGAGAUAAGUGCUGAAAGCAUCUAAGCACGAAACUUGCCCCGAGAUGAGUUCUCCCUGACCCUUUAAGGGUCCUGAAGGAACGUUGAAGACGACGACGUUGAUAGGCCGGGUGUGUAAGCGCAGCGAUGCGUUGAGCUAACCGGUACUAAUGAACCGUGAGGCUUAACCUUACAACGCCGAAG